AAAAUAGCUAAAGUUUGACUUCGAAUCAGAUAUAGAUUUAAUAAUCCUAUUUUA
rnacentral:tRNA from 1 species